rnacentral:lncRNA from 1 species
CGACCACCAUUUGAAUUCCUUUUCUUCAUUUCGACCUUUGUCAAUCUAUAACGUAAUGGACCAGUUCACCGUUUUGGACAUUCUUCUCAAUUAAAUUCUUCAACUACCAACAUUCCUCAGUUACAUGCCCCGUGGUCUGGUGAUACUAGCAGAAUAAGUUUGGAUUUCCCCUCGGGGUACGAUUGCUCACCGGAUUAAUUUCUGACGUGAAGGGCGACUUCAAGUCAGCUGACAAUUCAUUCGCCUGGGUUACCGCCGCUAACUUUCGCUCUAGCUUUACCAACUUUUGUAUGACGGGAUCUGGUAUCUCCCUCGGGGGGAUGUUCUGCGUCAAUCCUUUACAUACUUUGGGAAGGCCACCCGUUGCCGCCGUUCAGACCUUACCCGUCCUUCGUCACUGUCUCGAGAGCGUGACUUGCGUCUGCUCUUAUCUCUGGAAGAGCCUCUAGUUCGAUGAGAUCUGGAUUGACUUUGUGGUGUAGACUUCCAAAUCAUGUGUCGAUUAUUCUGCUUCUAACUGGGCCAAUUCAGCAUCCCAAUUUGCUUGUUGUAGGGGCAGUGUCUCAAGUGCAUCCUUUGUCUGCUGGAUUUUUCGCCUCCGUAUCAACUCCUGUUUAUCAUGUCCAUCUUACUCCCGAUCUCGCUUUUGAUUAAUGUGUGUUCGGGACCGACCGUCUGUCUCGUGACUAUGGGGAUCGUGAGU